rnacentral:rRNA from 1 species
GUUAGGAAUAUUGGACAAUGGGCGCAAGCCUGAUCCAGCCAUGCCGCGUGAGCGAUGAAGGCCUUCGGGUUGUAAAGCUCUUUAGCCGAUGAUUAUAAUGACUGUAGUCGGAAAAUAAGCCCCGGCUAACUUCGUGCCAGCAGCCGCGGUAAUACGAAGGGGGCGAGCGUUAUUCGGAAUCACUGGGCGUAAAGCGUGCGUAGGCGGCUUUGCAAGUUGGGAGUGAAAGCCCAGGGCUCAACCCUGGAAUUGCUCUCAAAACUGCAAGGCUCGAAUUCGGGAGAGGAUAGCGGAAUUGUCAGUGUAGCAGUGAAAUGCGUAGAUAUUGACAGGAACACCAGUGGCGUAAGCGGCUAUCUGGACCGAUAUUGACGCUGAGGAACGAAAGCGUGGGGAUCAAACAGGAUUAGAAACCCCAGUAGUCC